rnacentral:rRNA from 1 species
GACGAACGCUGGCGGCGUGCCUAAUACAUGCAAGUCGAACGCAGUGGGGACAGGUGAGUAACACGUGGUUAACCUCCCAUCAGAGGGGAUAACACUUGGAAACAGGUUCUAACACGAUACUGAUGGAUGGCCACGCGGUGCAUUUGCUAGUUGGUGAGGUAACGGCUCACCAAGGCCACGAUGCAUAGCCGACCUGAGAGGGGGAGAGGCCACACUGGGACUGAGACACGGCCCAGACUCCUACGGGAGGCAGCAGGAGGGAAGCUUCGGCAAUGGACGAAAGUCUGACCGAGAAACGCCGCGGGAGGGAAGAAGGUUUGCGGAUCGUAAAACUCUGUUGUUAGAGAAGCGGUAUAUAACCAGAAAGCCAAGGCUAACUACGUGCCAGCAGCCGCGGUAAUUC